rnacentral:rRNA from 1 species
GACGAACGCUGGCGGCGUGCUUAACACAUGCAAGUCGAACGGUGAAGCGCCUUCCUUUUUGGUGGGUGUGGAUGAGUGGCGAACGGGUGAGUAACACGUGAGUAACCUUCCCCUUCUUCUGGAUAACCGCAUGAAAGUGUGUCUAAUACGGGAUAUUCUGGGUCUGUCGCAUGAUGGGUCUGGGAAAGAUCUUGCUUUGGUGGGGGAUGGGCUCGCGGCCUCUAAGCUUGUUGGUGGGGUGAUGGCCUACCCAGGCGGUGAAGGGUAGCCGGCCUGGGAGGGUGGACCGUCACACGGGGACGGAGACGCGGCGCAGACUCCGACGGGAGGCAGCAGUGGGGAAUAUGGAAUAAGGGGAGGAAGGAUGAUGCAGCGCCGCGGCGUGGGGGAUGGACGCCUUAGGGUUGUGAACCUCUUUCGGGAGUGAAGAAGGCCUGCCGUGUUUGUGGGUGGGUUGACGGUAGCUAAAUAAGAAGCGCCGGCUAACUACGUG